GAAACCCACUUAGCAACGUUUCAUUUGCGACACAUUGCGUAUACGCAGAGCUGACCAUUCCAGUCCAUUCCAGUCCAGACCAGACCAGGCCAGGACAGCACGUGUCAUCGCUGGCCAGAUAAGAUCGCUAUAGCCGGUGCCCACUCAAUUUGGCUGUUAUAGGAACUAGAAACACUUGAUAGAGGGCUCCAGCCAGUUCACCAUGCGCUCCUCCAUUCAAUAUGUGUCCUAGCAACGUGGCCGGACGAAUAAAUGACAAGGCUAUUUGUUUUGUUCUAAAGGCCCGGAUGGCCUGGAUGGCACAGGUGAGCUGGAGGCUCUUCAGGGCAGGAUUUCGUAGCGGAAAAUUUAUAUUUUUCCGUGAAGAGCGCUCUUCAGAUGAGUUAUGGGGCAAACAGGUUGAGCGUGUCUCUCCUUCAGGUUGAGUGUAGAAACAACGAAAAGACUGAUUUGAUUUUGUGUUUGAAUAGCUGCACUAAGAAAAUGUAAAAUUAAAAAACACGAUUGCUAAUAAUUCUUCUUUAAACUGGCAAAUAUAAGAGCUUACGAAUAUUUAUAAUAC
ensembl:ncRNA lncRNA:CR46083 long non-coding RNA:CR46083